GCUUGUCGGGUGUUAGUUCCGGGCCCAGCUUGGGCUGGUGGUAGGUCGGGAGAGGGCGCGGUCUCCCAGCCUUUGCGCGGAUUGCGGGGCAUCAGGUGGGGCCGAGGCGAGGCCGAACGCCGGCAGGCCGGAAACCGCGCAGCCCCGCUGGACCUCGCUGAUUGCCGGCGGCACCGGUGGGUUCGCGACCUUGAACAGCAGGCUCCCAGCCUUGCCUAUCGGUUCCGUGAGGGUCUUGGAUGCUGCCCCAGCACAGGAAUGUCCCUUCUGCCUGGGAACCACCAGAGGCAAGCUCCAAGGAUGUAGUCUGGCACCUUCUUACAAUUAAUUGGUUUUGGAUGACUUGGUCAUUUAGAAACUGCUGAGGUGAACCUCCAAAAGAGGAAGUCUGGCAUGGUUCUGUGCCUGACUGUGCCCCGAUUAUGCCUCAAAAUGCCUCUUAAGCCCCUGUUGAUGGGUGCUGGUUUCCGUACAAAGGUGAACAUGCUUCUCAGAAGAUGUUCCUGCCACCUUCUGCAUCAAUGAGGGAAGUUUGGAGGGCAAAGUACAGGUUACUUUUGGAACAAUAGGAUCCUCUCUCCCUCUGUCCUUUUGACAGAUUUUCAGAAGUAGAAGGGAAAGACCUAAGACACUAUCCAAACCCAUGGGAUCUAUCACCACCUAUAGGGUGUGACAUGUCACACUAGCUGAGCCACCUGGCCUUAGCUACAUGUCUGCCAAACAGCCACUUGAAAGCUACCUGUUAGAAAGCAAUGUGCUUGAUACUAGAUACUGCCUGUUAAAUGUUACAUGAAUUCUAAAAAAAAAUAAAUAAAUCUCAUUUUUGUAAAUAUUGUCAGUCUCUAAGACAGAGUAUACUUUAAAUCUUAUACUACAAUAAAUUUGUCUAUUUCUCCUUAUAGUUCCACUUGUAUUUGAUUUAUGUAUAUUGAAAAUCUGUGGUUGGUUCCACAUAAGAUCUUAACUGUUAUGUCUUUUUGGAUAAAUGUUUCUUUUAUCAUUACAAAAUGUUUUUCUUUAUCUCUUUUAGUCUUUUUCAUCUGUAGUAUUACAUCUGUUAUUAUUACAUCUGUAGUACUACAUCUGUUAUCACAUCUGUUAUUAUUUGCUUGAUACUUGUUUUUUAAAAUAUAUCUUUUAUCUCA
rnacentral:lncRNA from 1 species